UACGAAGGGGGCUAGCGUUGUUCGGAAUUAUUGGGCGUAAAGAGCUCGUAGGCGGUCUGUCGCGUCGGCUGUGAAAACCCGGGGCUCAACCCCGGGCCUGCAGUCGAUACGGGCAGACUAGAGUGCGGUAGGGGAGACUGGAAUUCCUGGUGUAGCGGUGAAAUGCGCAGAUAUCAGGAGGAACACCGGUGGCGAAGGCGGGUCUCUGGGCCGUAACUGACGCUGAGGAGCGAAAGCGUGGGGAGCGAACAGG
rnacentral:rRNA from 1 species